rnacentral:rRNA from 1 species
AGAGUUUGAUCCUGGCUCAGAUUGAACGCUAGCGGGAUGCUUUACACAUGCAAGUCGAACGGCAGCACGAGAGAGCUUGCUCUCUUGGUGGCGAGUGGCGGACGGGUGAGUAAUAUAUCGGAACGUGCCCAGUAGCGGGGGAUAACUACUCGAAAGAGUGGCUAAUACCGCAUACGCCCUACGGGGGAAAGGGGGGGAUCGCAAGACCUCUCACUAUUGGAGCGGCCGAUAUCGGAUUAGCUAGUUGGUGGGGUAAAGGCUCGCCAAGGCAACGAUCCGUAGCUGGUUUGAGAGGACGACCAGCCACACUGGGACUGAGACACGGCCCAGACUCCUACGGGAGGCAGCAGUGGGGAAUUUUGGACAAUGGGGGAAACCCUGAUCCAGCCAUCCCGCGUGUAUGAUGAAGGCCUUCGGGUUGUAAAGUACUUUUGGCAGAGAAGAAAAGGCAUCCCCUAAUACGGGAUGCUGCUGACGGUAUCUGCAGAAUAAGCACCGGCUAACUACGUGCCAGCAGCCGCGGUAAUACGUAGGGUGCAAGCGUUAAUCGGAAUUACUGGGCGUAAAGCGUGUGUAGGCGGUUCGGAAAGAAAGAUGUGAAAUCCCAGGGCUCAACCUUGGAACUGCAUUUUUAACUGCCGAGCUAGAGUAUGUCAGAGGGGGGUAGAAUUCCACGUGUAGCAGUGAAAUGCGUAGAUAUGUGGAGGAAUACCGAUGGCGAAGGCAGCCCCCUGGGAUAAUACUGACGCUCAGACACGAAAGCGUGGGGAGCAAACAGGAUUAGAUCCCCUGGUAGUCCACGCCCUAAACGAUGCCACCUAACUGGUGGGGCCGUUAGGCCUUAGUAGCG